GGGCGUAUGACGGAAUGGAAUACGUGCUUGUCUUAGGAACAAGUUUUUGUAAGUUCGAAUCUUACUACGCCCA
rnacentral:tRNA from 1 species